GGGACUUAUAUAAGUCCGUGAGUCCCGACAAUGUUUUUCUCCUUCCAGCAUUGGGUUGAAUUAAUUGCGAUUGUGGCAAAUUGCCAACAGUUAUAAGAAUUGUCUGGUUCCUUCAAUAAGUCGGAUUGAAACCUGAACUCUUUACUAUGGAUUUCCCUGGAGUCAACUGUGUCGAUCGCCAUAAGGAAAAGAAUUCCAGUCGAGUCAUCUGGGAAAAAGACAAACCUGCUAGACAAGAGGAGCGGGUCACCACCUAAGGAGUAGAAAAAAGGUGACCGUGUGGCAAUUUAAAUGCCACCUUGUCCGCUCUCUGUCGCCUCAAUGCUCGCUUCUAUGUACCCGUGUCGGAGCCGUCCAUUCCGUAAAGUCUUUGCCGGAUGCAGUGCGGAAGCGAUGGCCAGUCGCAUCAAUGACGCUGAAACUAAGGUAUGAUUACUGCUGACAGCAGUUGAAAAGUGUCCGACGGGAAAUCCUAAAGGGAUUGUUCAUUCCCACGCUGGCUACAUAUCUUCUUUUUGCGUCGUUGACACAUUAUAUAGUUUAAAUAGUUAGUGGUUUAGAUAGUAGUUUUUCGAUUUUAAAAAAGGAGACAUUUUUGGUUGCGUGGCGGAC